AGAACGAACGCUGGCGGCAUGCCUAACACAUGCAAGUCGAACGUGAUCCAUGACUUCGGUUGUGGUGAAAGUGGCAAACGGGUGAGUAACGCGUGGGAAUCUACCCAGAGGUAGGGAAUAACCGCGGGAAACUGCGGCUAAUACCCUAUGUGCCCUACGGGGCAAAGAUUUAUCGCCUUUGGAGGAGCCCGCGUCGGAUUAGGUAGUUGGUAGGGUAACGGCCUACCAAGCCUACGAUCCGUAGCUGGUCUGAGAGGAUGAUCAGCCACACUGGGACUGAGAUACGGCCCAGACUCCUACGGGAGGCAGCAGUGGGAAUAUUGGACAAUGGGGGCAACCCUGAUCCAGCAAUGCCGCGUGAGUGAUGAAGGCCUUCGGGUUGUAAAGCUCUUUCGGCGGGGAAGAUGAUGACGGUACCCGCAGAAGAAGCCCCGGCUAACUCGUGCCAGCAGCCGC
rnacentral:rRNA from 1 species